rnacentral:lncRNA from 1 species
GCCGUUUUAGAGAUCAGAGUUUGCAAAAAACGUGCCAUUUUUUCUUUCUGAAACUGCCUGGCCCACGUGACGUACAGACCCGUCACAAAUACACGGUUCCCAUGUCCACUCGGACGGAGUCUCCCUUGUAUUUGCACGGCGUACCAUUUUAUACAACUAGAUCCAAGAUCACAAUUACAAUCCACACAUUCACACAAUUAUCCACAACUCAUAUGAUGAAUAAAUCUCAUAAAC